ACUCGUAUACAGGUGGUGCAUGGUUGUCGUCAGCUCGUGUCGUGAGAUGUUGGGUUAAGUCCCGCAACGAGCGCAACCCUCGUUCUAUGUUGCCAGCGCGUUAUGGCGGGAACUCAUAGGAGACUGCCGGGGUCAACUCGGAGGAAGGUGGGGAUGACGUCAAAUCAUCAUGCCCCUUAUGUCUUGGGCUUCACGCAUGCUACAAUGGCCGGUACAAAGGGCUGCAAUACCGUAAGGUGGAGCGAAUCCCAAAAAGCCGGUCUCAGUUCGGAUUGAGGUCUGCAACUCGACCUCAUGAAGUCGGAGUCGCUAGUAAUCGCAGAUCAGCAACGCUGCGGUGAAUACGUUCCCGGGCCUUGUACACACCGCCCGUCAAGUCAUGAAAGUCGGUAACACCCGAAGCCGGUGGCCCAACCCUUGUGGAGGGAGCCGUCGAAG
rnacentral:rRNA from 1 species